rfam:Calypte anna contig49876, whole genome shotgun sequence.
UUGCAAACUCGAUCACUAGCUCUGCAUGAUGUUGCAGAAGCGAGGGGAACAGGUUUGCUAAAGCAAACAUGGUCAUAGAAAUGUGUCAGCCUUAAAAAACAAAAUUAUUUUGGCUGUUAAUUCUAUACCAUGACAAGG